GGAUGAAGGUGUAGAAGAAGAUGAGUAUUAAGAGGAUGAAACUACUCUUGAUGAAGAUUGAAGAAUAGUUAUUUUAUGAUUACUUGACUUUAGUUUUGAGAAUUAAAAGACUAUUCAAGUUUCAAUAUAUUAGCGUCUUAAACUUUAGUAGUUUAUUUUUAUUUUAUUUGGAUUGCAAAAUUAUUAUUACUUGAGUGCUUUUAGUUAUUAUUAUUUUUUAAUUUUAUGCUAUUUGAAGUUUGAUGGAAUAUUC
rnacentral:misc_RNA from 1 species